AUGCAUGUCUAAGUAUAAGCAAUUAUACAGCGAAACUGCGAAUGGCUCAUUAUAUAAGUUAUAGUUUAUUUGAUAGCACCUUACUACAUGGAUAACUGUGGUAAUUCUAGAGCUAAAACAUGCCAAAAAUCCCGACUUAUGGAGGGAUGUGUUUAUCAGACUAAAAACCAAUGCCCUCUGGGCUAAACGGUGAAUCAUGAUAACCAGUCGAAUCGCACGGCCUUGUGCCGGCGAUGGUUCAUUCAAAUUUCUUCCCUAUCAACUUUCGAUGCGAAGGUAUUGUCUUCGCAUGGUUACAACGGGUAACGGAGGGUUAGGGCUCGACCCCGGAGAAGGAGCCUGAGAAACGGCUACUACAUCCAAGGAAGGCAGCAGGCGCGCAAAUUACCCAAUCCCGACACGGGGAGGUAGUGACAAUAAAUACUGAUACAGGGCUCUUUUGGGUCUUGUAAUUGGAAUGAGUACAAUUUAAAUCCCUUAACGAGGAACAAUUGGAGGGCAAGUCUGGUGCCAGCAGCCGCGGUAAUUCCAGCUCCAAUAGCGUAUAUUAAAGUUGUUGUGGUUAAAAAGCUCGUAGUUGAACCUUGGGCCUGGCUGGCCGGUCCCCCUCACCGGGUGCACUGGUCCGGCCGGGCCUUUCCAUCUGUGGAACCUCAUGUCCUUUACUGGAUGUGAUGGGGAAACAGGACUUUUACUUUGAAAAAAUUAGAGUGCUCAAGGCAGGCCUAUGCUCGAAUACAUUAGCAUGGAAUAAUGAAAUAGGACGUGCGGUUCUAUUUUGUUGGUUUCUAGGACCGCCGUAAUGAUUAAUAGGGACAGUCGGGGGCAUCAGUAUUCAAUUGUCAGAGGUGAAAUUCUUGGAUCUAUUGAAGACUAACUACUGCGAAAGCAUUUGCCAAGGAUGUUUUCAUUGAUAAGGAACGAAAGUUAGGGGAUCGAAGACGAUCAGAUACCGUCGUAGUCUUAACUAUAAACUAUGCCGACUAGGGAUCGGACGGCGUUAUUACUUGACCCGUUCGGCACCUUUCGAGAAAUCAAAGUGCUUGGGCUCCA
rnacentral:rRNA from 1 species